rnacentral:misc_RNA from 1 species
UCUCGGCUUAUCACCGGCAGUCCCCCUAGAGUGCCCAACUGAAUGAUGGCAACUAAGGGCGAGGGUUGCGCUCGUUGCGGGACUUAACCCAACAUCUCACGACACGAGCUGACGACAGCCAUGCAGCACCUGAACCGGCAGUCCCCGAAGGGAAAAUCCUAUCUCUAGGACAGUCCGCCGUUGUCUAGCCCAGGUAAGGUUCUUCGCGUUGCGUCGAAUUGAACCACAUACUCCACCGCUUGUGCAGGCCCCCGUCGAUUUCUUUGAGUUUUAAUCUUGCGACCGUACUUCCCAGGCGGCACGUUUAUCGCGUUAGCUUCGGCACAGCAGGGGUCGAUACCCGCUACACCAAGUGCCCAUCGUUUACAGCUAGGACUAC